AGUCGAGCGAUCUCUUCGGAGAGAGCGGCGGACGGGUGAGUAACGCGUGGGUAACCUGCCCUGUACACACGGAUAACAUACCGAAAGGUAUACUAAUACGGGAUAACAUACGAAAGUCGCAUGGCUUUUGUAUCAAAGCUCCGGCGGUACAGGAUGGACCCGCGUCUGAUUAGCUAGUUGGUAAGGUAAUGGCUUACCAAGGCAACGAUCAGUAGCCGACCUGAGAGGGUGAUCGGCCACACUGGAACUGAGACACGGUCCAGACUCCUACGGGAGGCAGCAGUGGGGAAUAUUGCACAAUGGGCGAAAGCCUGAUGCAGCAACGCCGCGUGAGCGAUGAAGGCCUUCGGGUCGUAAAGCUCUGUCCUCAAGGAAGAUAAUGACGGUACUUGAGGAGGAAGCCCCGGCUAACUACGUGCCAGCAGCCGCGGUAAUACGUAGGGGGCUAGCGUUAUCCGGAAUUACUGGGCGUAAAGGGUGCGUAGGUGGUUUUUUAAGUCAGAAGUGAAAGGCUACGGCUCAACCGUAGUAAGCUUUUGAAACUAGAGAACUUGAGUGCAGGAGAGGAGAGUAGAAUUCCCUAGUGUAGCGGUGAAAUGCGUAGAUAUUAGGAGGAAUACCAGUAGCGAAGGCGGCUCUCUGGACUGUAACUGACACUGAGGCACGAAAGCGUGNGGGAGCAAACAGGAUUAGAUACCCUGGUAGUCCACGCCGUAAACGAUGAGUACUAGGUGUCGGGGGNUACCCCCCCUCGGUGCCGCAGCUAACGCAUUAAGUACUCCGCCUGGGAAAGUACGCUCGCAAGAGUGAAACUUCAAAGGAAUUGACGGGGGACCNCGCACAAGUAGCGGAACCAUGUGGUUUAAUUCGAAAGCAACGCGAAGAACCUUACCUAAGCUUUGACAUCCCACUGACCUCUCCCAUAAUCGG
rnacentral:rRNA from 1 species